rnacentral:rRNA from 1 species
AGCGAACGCUGGCGGCGUGCUUAACACAUGCAAGUCGAGCGAAGGUGUUUCAAGGGUAACCUUGAGAUACACUUAGCGGCGGACGGGUGAGUAAUACGUGGAUAACUUACCUCUAGGCCUGGGAUAACCCCGGGAAACUGGGGGCUAAUACCUGAUAAGACCACAUUGUCUACGGACAAAAGGGGUAAAAGGUGGCUGUGCAAACAGCUAUCGCCAAAAGAUAGGUUCACGUCCCAUCAGGCAGUGGUGAGGUAAUGGCUCACCAAACCAAAGACGGGUAGCCGGCCUUGGCGGGUGAACGGCCACACGGGGACUGAGACACGGCCCCGACUCCUACGGGAGGCAGCAGUGGGGAAUAUUGGGCAAUGGGCGCAAGCCUGACCCAGCGACGUCGCGUU